ACAGCAUGAUGACACUUGUCCAAA
rnacentral:siRNA from 1 species